rnacentral:rRNA from 1 species
UACGGAGGGUGCAAGCGUUAAUCGGAAUUACUGGGCGUAAAGCGCACGCAGGCGGUCUGUCAAGUCGGAUGUGAAAUCCCCGGGCUCAACCUGGGAUCUGCAUUCGAAACUGGCAGGCUAGAGUCUUGUAGAGGGGGGUAGAAUUCCAGGUGUAGCGGUGAAAUGCGUAGAGAUCUGGAGGAAUACCGGUGGCGAAGGCGGCCCCCUGGACAAAGACUGACGCUCAGGUGCGAAAGCGUGGGGAGCAAACAGG